UUUAGAUUGUGCUAUGAGUUAGAUAGGAACAUGAGAAUCAUUUGGUGUGAGUUUUAUUCUUAAUGUUACUAUGGCACUGGAAUCCAUUUGGUGAGAAGAGCAAGAUGUCAAUGGCUUGGAAAAUUGAACUAGAAUAGUGUUACUGAGGCUAGCUCAUCAUCUGGGAGUUGUGAAAAGCUGUCUGUGUUGUUGUGGUUGGAAAUGCAGUCCGUGAUGUUGCUCAGCUACAUGUGCUGGGAUGAUAUGCCAGCUCAUGGUUACGUUUGGCUGGGUUGAGCUGAAGUAGUGAACAUGCUGUUGCAGUGAAGAUGACAUUCCCCAAGAACCCCAUUCCAAGGGACUAGUUUUAGGCUCCUAAGAACUUGGUUCUUCCUGGUAUACAGCUUCUGUUUCUUUAGGACACAGAAAUCCAGCUUGACCCUGCUGCAUAGCCAGUGAGGAGAGAGCCCUACACUGAAAUCCCAGAGCCCUGUUUCUCAGAUGGGGAAGAAGAGGGACUGGCUGAAGCUCUCCAGCAGGAAUGGGACACCCUCAACACUGCAUCUGUAAUGUGGUAUCAAGAUGUAUGGUGAUCUUCUCAACUGUCAUGUUGAUACAAUAAAGUGAUGGUGUCACUGGA